CGGGGUGCACCAGGCGCGAAAACUCUACAAUGCAGGCAACUGCGAUAGGGGAACAUCGAGUGGCACCCACCAUGGGUGUCUGUCCAACCGUCUAAAAAACGGUUGUUAGCAAGGGCCGGGUAAGACCGGUGCCAGCCGCCGCGGUAAUACCGGCGGCUCGAGUGGUGGCCGAUAUUAUUGAGUCUAAAGGGUCCGUAGCUGGCUUUGCAAGUCCCCUGGGAAAUCCAGCGGCUUAACCGUUGGGCUUCCAUGGGAUACUACAUUGCUUGGGACUGGGAGAGGUAGGAGGUACUCAGGGGGUAGGGGUGAAAUCCUGUAAUCCUCUGGGGACCACCGGUGGCGAAGGCGUCCUACCAGAACAGGUUUGACAGUGAGGGACGAAAGCUAGGGGCACGAACCGGAUUAGAUACCCGGGUAGUCCUAGCCGUGAACGAUGCUCGCUAGGUGUCACGGCAGUCGUGAAUUGUCGUGGUGCCGUAGGGAAGCCGUGAAGCGAGCCACUUGGGAAGUACGACCGCAAGGUUGAAACUUAAAGGAAUUGGCGGGGGAGCAC
rnacentral:rRNA from 1 species